ensembl:snoRNA small nucleolar RNA, H/ACA box 13
UGCCUUUGUGUUACCCAUUCACUAUCUCCCACAGUGAACGUGGUGUCAAAAAAGGCAUACAAAAAGUCUUGCUGAAAAAGUUUUGGGAGAUGGUUAUGUACUUUUUCUCUCCACAAUUCUGCAAGGACAGAA